rnacentral:rRNA from 1 species
CCUACGGGAUGCAGCAGUGAGGAAUCUUGCGCAAUGGGGGAAACCCUGACGCAGCAACGCCGCGUGAGUGAGGAAGGUCUUCGGAUCGUAAAGCUCUGUCGGGUGGAAAGAAAUGUAUGGGGUUAAUAGCCUUCAUACUUGACGGUACCACCAAAGGAAGCACCGGCUAACUCCGUGCCAGCAGCCGCGGUAAUACGGGGGGUGCAAGCGUUGUUCGGAAUUAUUGGGCGUAAAGCGCGUGUAGGCGGCUUGUCAAGUCAGAUGUGAAAGCCCGGGGCUUAACCCAGGAAGUGCAUUUGAAACUGGCAGGCUAGAGUAGGGGAGAGGGAAGUGGAAUUCCUGGUGUAGAGGUGAAAUUCGUAGAUAUCAGGAGGAACACCGGUGGCGAAGGCGACUUCCUGGCCCUAUACUGACGCUGAGACGCGAGAGCGUGGGUAGCAAACA